rnacentral:lncRNA from 1 species
UUGGACUAAUAUAUACGUUGUACCUCACAUUCAAUAUGGUGGACCCAAUACCAUAAAACUCAAAUCCAUAAGGUCUAGCUGAGGCAACUCAGCUUAGAUAAUGGUGAUGCAACCCCAUAACAAUCAUGUCUGACAAACUUCACCCUUUAAACCUCUUUACACCCUCGUACAGACACUACCUUCUUAAGACGACACAAUCCAAAUAAGAUAUAUAUUGAGAAGACUCCUACAAGUACCCAUGAAUGUAUCACCUCUAGUAGUUCCUCCAUUUGGUUUUUUCAAGUGAAGUACAAUAAAAUCUUAAGUUGACACUCACUAUACUACAACGCCUAGACUUGAGGGAUAUGAGUGUAUGACUAGCCUUCCUUUUCCUAUAAAUACCACCUGGACGACAAGUAAAAGUAAGUCGUUCUAUAAGACUACCAUUCAUGUCUAUUCGCCACCAAGUGCUCUCUGCAACUCUCUCAAUGUGAACUGCCUUUACAACAGCGGCUCUUCACAAUCUCUCUUCGCAUGACUUUCUGGAUGGGUUCUGCAAAAAGCAAAGCUUGAUACUGAGCUAAAUCAUAAUUGUGCUGUAGCAAGAUUACAAAGCAGAUUCAGUAGAAGGUUGCUGUUUUACCAGUGCCAGACCAUGCUGGCGGAAUUACGUAUACACUUCUAGUGAAGAACACAAUUCCCCUUUGUUGAAUAACAGACUGCUUCUCGAAUUCUAUGUGCAAGCAUUAUGACUUAAAUUUGGACCAUCAAACCCCUUUUAUCAAAAGCUCUCAUAAACACUAAGCAUGUAAUCAUGAGCCAGUAAAACUCAGAAAAUUGGCUACUAAGUACACAUGUCUAAGAAUUAAUCACAUAAAAAUUAGGGCUGAUCGUAAAACUUACAAUUCAUUCAUUUUGUUGUUAUGAUUACGCACAUCAUACCAUGAUCCUCCAAAUUCCAAGUCUAUUCAAAGUUAAAGGAACCUAAACAUAAAUGACAAGUGUGGAUUCGUGGAAAUAUAGCAACCUUAAAUUCUUCUAACUACAAUAAAGUAAAUUUAACUCAAAGGAAUAGCAGCAACAUAAGCUAUACUUCAAAACACACUAGGGUUAUUUAUGGUACAGUAACAUAUUUUAUUUUUAUUUAAGUCUAAUUCGGCUCAAAAUAUGAUUUUAAAAUUUUGAUCCAGUCCGUUCAUAUUUACAAAUGACUAAUUCAGCUCAUUUUAGGCCCACUUAUAUUAUUUUAUUAAAAUUAUAUUUGUAUUUAUAUUUUUUAAAUUUAAUAUUUAAUAAUUUUAAUGUUCAAACUUGAGCCAGAUCUAUAUUUUAAAUGAGUCAAAUUUUUUUGCCCUAGCUCAUUUUUCAAGUAUAAUAUUUUUGCUAAAAUUCUUUCAAAUUUUAAAUAAAUCUUUAAGCCUGAACAAGUCUAACUAUAACAAAGUAAAACACUCUAAGCCCCAACAAGGUAAUGAGCAAUGCAAUACAAUAGGCAAUGAACAGGCUACUAAACAAUUUAGGGGUGUUAAAAUGGUCGAUUCGGUUAAUAUACGAACCGAAUAACCCUAAAUAUAAAAACAUUUAACCGUUAAUCGAAUCAAAAUUUUUUCAAAUACAUUAACUAAAUUGAAAUCUUUCGGUUAAUUUGGUCAGUUAACCGAAUUAAUUAAAUUUAUAUUUUUUUGUCUUUUGGUUAAAAUAAGUAUAAAACAUAUAAAAAAAUACAUUGCUAAUGUUCAUUUUCUUUUAUUUGAUGGUUAAAAAACUUUAAAUAGAGGUGAAAAUAACAAAUAAGACAUUAAAAUUAUUACAUAUAUUAAUUAUUUAUAUACUUGGGUGGGUUAUAUAUAUUAUAUAUUGUAACAGCCCGAUUUUGGGCCUAGUCGAAACAGUGGUUUUGGGACCACUAUUUCGAGGCUAGAGAAAAUUAUUUUAGUAUUUUUUUAUGUGUUAUAAUAUAAUUUUAUAAGUGCAUGUAAAUUUUGGUAAGUUAAUUAUUAGCAAUUUCUAGUCCAAUUUCGAAAAAGGACUAAAUCGCGUAAGAGGUAAAAGUUGUGUUCUAAUACUAAAGGUGUUAAAUUGCCUUGUAUCUUAAAUUGGGGGUAUUUAAAGUGAAAUUAGGCCAUUGAAAGUGUGAUGGCCGGCCAUGGGAGACAAAAUUGUUGAAAAGUCAAAAUUAGGUGAAAUUUGGUCACCAAUUUUGACUAGUUUUAUUAUUAACAAAUCAAAAAGAAAAAGUUAUCAUUUUUCUCUUCUCCUUCACCGAAAUAUGCAGCAAAGAAAGGGCUUUGAAGCUGGAAAGUUUUAGCAACAUAUUUCACUUGCUUGUAAGUGAUUUUAAUGUAUUUGCUUGAUGAUUUUUACAUUUUUGGAACCCCUAAAGCAUGAGCUUUCAUAAGAGGGGACUAUUUUGCAAAAUGAUGAAGAGUCUAGGGUUUUGCCAUGAGAGUAAAUGUGUUGUUUGCUGUGUUUUUAUGGAAGAUUAUGAGUCCUAGUUGUCUAAUAAACAACUUUUGUGAAAGAAAUUGCAUGAAAACACCUUAAAAAGGGCUAGAUUGCUAAGUUGUAAAAUGAGUUGUAAAUGUGUGAAAUAGUUGAAAUUAUGAGUUGCUAUAGUUAUGAAAAUGGUUCAUCUAGACUCAAGGAGUAAAGAAAUGUGAUAAAAAUUAUUUUACGAGCCUAGGGGUAAUUUGGUAAUUUUGGCAAAAUAUAGGGGAAAAAUUGUAAAAAAAAUGCUCAAGUGUGUCAAUGGACUAAUUUGAUCAGUAAAUUGUUUUAAUAAGUUGAAUGUGAUAUUUUAGAUGAUGAAAAUCGAGAUUUGGACCUAGAACGGAAAGAAAUCGAUUAAGGGAUAAUUACGUCUUUUUUUCACCUUUGUGGUAUCGAGGUAAGUUCAUGUGUAAAUAAUGUAGCAUAAUUGUUAUUUUUAAGUUAUUGAUGUUAAAUAUAUGAUAUGCUGAUUUUUAUCAUUAAAUAUAUGCUUUGUGGUUAUUUUCGAAUAAAAUGCAAGUUAUGUGUAUUAUCUGUUAAAUAUAAAGUGCUACUGAGUAUUGGUUUCGGUAUUUUACGGAAGAUGGCAAGGAUAUGUGUUCGAGGAAAAUCCCGUUUGAACCUUAGGAAUAGAUUAGGAUACAAGUGACAUGUCACUAGGAUGGUUGAGCAUCCGAACUCGUUGAGUUGAGUCCGAGUUCACUUAUGGAUGCGAAUGUUCGAACUCGUUGAGUUGAGUCUGAGUUCGUGAGAUGUAACUAGGCAUCCGAGCUCGUUGAGUUGAGUCCGAGUUCACUUAUGGGCGGGUUACAUUGUAGCUUGGCUACAUAUGUGGCACUUAUGUGCAAACUUUCUAUGUAUCCGAAUUAUAUUCCGAUGUGUUCAACAGGUAAAAUUCUACUCAAAUGGAGGAAUACUCGAGAUGAAAGGGACGUAUUGGUAAAUGUUGUGAAAUGGAUACUUUGAACAGGUAUGUACUUAACCCUCGGGUUGAAAACUCGACAUAACAACAAUAUGGUAAGAUGGUAAAUGAAAAUGUGAUAUGAAUGUCUCGGUGAUGAUUAUACAAACGAUGUUGUAUUAAUUUUGUGAACAAUGAUCAUGAAUGAGUAAUUUAGCCUUAACAGAUUUGAGUUACUGCAGUAGUGUAACUUUGAAAAUACACUAAAAAUAGUGGAAAAUGAGUUAGAGGCAGAAUAAAAUAUGGGAUUAAAGCUUAAUGAGUCUAUUUUCACAUGAAAGAAACAGGUGAAGAAAAAGAAUUCCAUAUUGUGUGAUAUUUGAAUUCUUGUGAAAUAGGGUCUUGAAUGAAUUCGAGAUCCCCUGUUCUGACUUUAGAAAUUCACCAAAAAUUGUAAAAAAAUUAUUAAGAGUCAUACCUUACAUGCAUAGAUUCCUUAUUGAGUCUAUUUUUAGGGGAAAUAAAUUCCAUGGUCGUUGGAAUUUUGUACAGGGAGAAAUUUGGUUUGUAGUGCACAGGGGUCAGAGUGGUCAUACCCUGAAACAGGGGAGACUUUAACUAAUAAACUGUACUAAUUGGCCCAACCAAAAAUUCUAGAAAAAAAAUUAGUAAGUAGACAUAUGAGUCUAGUUUCAAGAGAAAUAGACGAGAACAUUAUUCGAGUCUUGUACUAUGAGAUAAUUGAACUUUAGUACAGAAGGGUCGGAACUGUCAGACAGUGAAUCAGGGGUAACUUUGAGGAAUAAACUGUACUAUUUGGCUUAACCCAAAAUUCUGAAAAUUUUAAGGAAGAAAGGAAAAUUAGUCUAGUUUCAGGGAAAAUUAACGGAACUUAAUUUGGAGUUUCGUAGCUCCAGAUAUAAAUAAUUUAGUGACUGUUGCUCAGGAAGACAGCUUGCAGUGAACUUGAGAAUAUGUUGUAAACAUUGAUAAAACAAGUUAAUGAGUUGCUUAUUGUUUUCAUAUGAACUUACUAAGCGAAAGCUUACCCCCCUUCUUUUCCAUGUUUUCUAGAGUUUCCAGGUUAGCUCGGGUUGGAGGCCGUCAGAGAUAUUAUCAUACUGUCGAGUUAACGCUAUCGGCGUAAGUAAACUCAAGUGAUUCUAGUCUAUGGCAUGUAUAGGGUUUUAAUGUGAGUAUGUAAUAUUAUGAUUUAGCCAAAGACAUUGGCUUUUUAUUAAGGUAGUAUUAGUCAUGUAAAUUGGCCUAUGUCGGCUAAUAUCGUUAUGGGCCCAUAUGAUUAUUCUUAUGCAUGUAUAUUAUUAUCUCUUGUGAUGUGGCUUACAACAUGUAUGCCUAGAGAUUGAAUUGAGAUUCAUUGAUGAGCUAAUAACUAAUGCAGGAUUAAGUGAUUGGUAAAUAGUUAAUAAUGCUUCAUGAAUGGUUUGUGGAUAUGAUUAUGCAUGCUUUGUGAUGGACAUGAGGUUUGAUGACAUGUUGAUAGCUAUAGCAUUAAUAUGAUAAAGAUGAAAGAAAAACUUAUUGUAAUGGUUGCAUGUGAAAUUACCAUGGUCAUGUCAUGUUAGGAAGGUUUAAGUGCCUAAUUUUGCCAUUUGUAUGCUAUUGUAUAAGUAUGCGUGAAUGUGUUGUGAGUGUGACAAAAUGGCUUGGAAAAUAGCCUUAUAUUUGUCCAGGUUUUGGACAUGGGUUGGGCAUGUCCUUAGCACCCGGGCGUGUGUUCUAUACCUACACGGGCGUGUGGAGCCUUGAUACAAUAAAUUUCUUAAGUUUUUCAUGAGUUCUCGGUUGGGUCUCGAACCACCCCGAAUGCAUGUAUUGUGUAACACCCCUUACCCGUAUCCAACACCGGAAUAGGGUAAGAGGCAUUACCAAAACACAUACACUUGUAAACGUAUUUAACCGAGUUAUAAAAUUUCAUCAAAAUUAAAACUUUCAAAAAUAAUUAACAUGUUUCUAUAACUUUUCACAAUAUAUCCUCAAAAUAUUAUAAUCAUAAUAAUUAGGGCCUGCGAGACCCGAUACAUACUUAUGCAAUUUAAUGCUUCAUUUUCAUUUCAUUCAAUUCGCAAUUUCUCAUGCUCAUAAUUUAAAUCAUAUCACUAGAAAUUUCCAUUUAAUUCACGUACAAUUCAAUGACAUCAAAUUCAAAACUAAUACGUAUUUACCAUUUAACUCAAUGUUUAUUGAUUAUACCAUUCAAUAACACAUUUAUGAAAUUCUCAAUUUAGCAAUGAAAAUAUCACUUUAGUUUGAAUAACAACAUCGUCCUGAUAUAAAUACACUACCACUUAUCCAUUUACUUUAAUUCUUUUGGGCCCAUUUGUCACUUACCAUCCUUAAUCAAAUUAGGGAACGGUCACGGAAAAUUGAGUACUUCACUUUCACUUUGCCAUAGUAUAACUAUGGUCUUACGUAUGAUCACUUAUCACUUGUCCCUGAUCAGAUAAGUGUAGCCACCUAUCACUUUGUUUCUUGAUCAGAUAAGUGUAGCCACUUAUCACUUUGUUUCUUGAUCAGAUAAGUGUAGCCACUUAUCACUUUGUCACUUGAUCAGAUAAGUGUAGCUAAAGCUAUCACUUAUCACUUUGUCUCUUGAUCAGAUAAGUAUAGCCGAAGCUAUCACUUAUCACUUUUCACUUAUCACUUGAUCAGAUAAGUGUAGCCGAAGCUAUCACUUAUCACUUUCCACUUGUCACUUGAUCAGAUAAGUGUAGCUAAAGCUACCACUUAUCACUUUAUCACUUGAUCAGAAGUACUCAAAUCCGGCGUUCCGCUCAAUUUGAUCAUUUAUUCAUAUAUCAGGCUUACCAACAUGUGUUAAUUCAUAAACCAUUCAUGGUAUUAUUUCAUGCCAAAUCAUAUACUGAAUAUACCAUACACACAUACUAUGAAACUUUAUUUUCACACAUGAGCUUAAACCAUGACCAAUAAUGCACAAAAAUAAGCAUCAUUCAUAUUUCAUCGUUUAUGAGUUAUAAUCAAACAUAUGACCAUUUAUACACGAAUCAUUCAUAUAUUUCCCAAUUUUCCUCCUCCUCCUCUCCAUUCCACAUCCUUAAUGUGUAUAACACACUUAAACAACAUUAACCAUAAUUUCAAUAUUCACUAACAUGUAUAUUCAAAGCUGUUUAUCCGAGUCAGAGUCACUAAAUUAUUUUUAUCCGGAGCUACAGAGCUCCAAAUUAAGAUCCGUUAAUUUUUCCUGAAACUAGACUCACAUAUCUUCAUACCAUAAAAUUUUCAUAAUUUUUGGUUCAGCCAAAUAGUACAUUUUAUUCUUUAAAGUUUCCCCUGUUUCGCUGUCUAACAGUUCCGACCACUCUUCACUAAAAAUUAAUUAUCUCAUUGUACAGAAUUCGGAUGAUGUUUUAGCUUGUUUCUUCUAAAAAUAGACUCAUUAAGGAUUCUAACCAUAUAAACUAUAACUCAUAAUAAUUUCUGUACAAUUUUUAAUGAUUUUCCAAAGUCAGAACAGGGGAACCCGAAUUUAUUCUGACCUUGUCUCACAAAAUCUAUUAUAUCUCAUGAUUUACAAUUCCAUUGCUCACAUCAUUUCUUUUAUAAGAAACUAGACUCAAUAAGCUUUAAUUUCAUAUUUUAUUCAUCCUCUAAUUCAAUCUCUACAAUUUUUGGUGAUUUUUCAAAGUUACACUACUGCUGCUGUCCAAAACUGCUUUAGUGCAAAAUGUUGAUUUCCAUUUUGCCCCAAAUUUCACAGUUUAUACAAUUCGGUCCUUUCUCAAUUAACCCCUCAAUUAAUCUAAUUUUCUCAAUUAGUACUUUACUAGACAUUAUAAGUUGUUACACAACUAUUGAAAUUCAGAAUUUCCACAUAUAACUCUAUCUUCAAACUCUUUUACUAUUAGGUCCCAAACAUUCACUUUCUAUUCAAUUCUUUCAAUAAAAUCAGCAUAUGAACAAUUUAAAGCUCUAAUUUCAUGCUAAAUCAUCAUAUACUUCCAGCACAUAUUCAUAUCAACUUUCAACUUCUUUCAUAAAAUCAAAAACUAAUGAAUUUAACAAGUGGGCCUAGUUGUAAAAGUCAUAAAAAUACAAAAAUUUCAAGAAAUAGUCAAGAAUUGAACUUACUUGUAAUAAAAAUAUGAAGAACCAGCUUGAAGAAGCCCUUCCAUGGUGUUUUAGCUGAUGAGAAUUCAGAAAAA